AUUGAACGCUGGCGGCAGGCUUAACACAUGCAAGUCGAACGAGUGGCGGACGGGUGAGUAAUGCUUGGGAAUCUCGCUUAUGGAGGGGGAUAACUACGGGAAACUGUAGCUAAUACCGCGUACCAUAGGAUGAGCCCAAGUGGGAUUAGGUUGUUGGUGGGGUAAAGGCUCACCAAGGCGACGAUCCCUAGCUGGUCGGAGAGGAUGACAAGCCACAUGGGGACUGGGACACGGACCAGACUCCGACGGGAGGGAGCAGUGGGGAAGAUUGGGCAAUGGGCGCAACCUGACGCAGGCAUGCCGCGUGAGUGAAGAAGGCCUUCGGGUUGUAAAGUACGUUAGGUAGCGAGGCGUUAACUACAGAAGAAGCACCGGCUAACUCCGUGCCAGCAGCCGCGGUAAUAC
rnacentral:rRNA from 1 species